AGAGUUUGAUCCUGGCUCAGGACGAACGCUGGCGGCGUGCCUAACACAUGCAAGUCGAGCGAUGAAAUCCUUCGGGAUGGAUUAGCGGCGGACGGGUGAGUAACACGUGGGUAACCUGCCUCAAAGAGGGGAAUAGCCUUCCGAAAGGAAGAUUAAUACCGCAUAAUAUGUUUUGGUCGCAUGACCGAGACAUCAAAGGAGCAAUCCGCUUUGAGAUGGACCCGCGGCGCAUUAGCUAGUUGGUGAGGUAACGGCUCACCAAGGCGACGAUGCGUAGCCGACCUGAGAGGGUGAUCGGCCACAUUGGAACUGAGACACGGUCCAGACUCCUACGGGAGGCAGCAGUGGGGAAUAUUGCGCAAUGGGGGAAACCCUGACGCAGCAACGCCGCGUGAAUGAUGAAGGCCUUCGGGUUGUAAAGUUCUGUCUUCUGGGACGAUAAUGACGGUACCAGAGGAGGAAGCCACGGCUAACUACGUGCCAGCAGCCGCGGUAAUA
rnacentral:rRNA from 1 species